UGCCAGCAGCCGCGGUAACACGGGGGGCGCAAGCGUUAUUCGGAAUUAUUGGGCGUAAAGGGUGUGCAGGCGGUAGGUUAAGUCUGAUGUGAAAGCCCUGGGCUCAACCCGGGAAUUGCAUUCGAUACUGCAGAACUAGAGUAUGGUAGAGGGAAGUGGAAUUUCCGGUGUAGCGGUGAAAUGCGUAGAUAUCGGAAGGAACACCAGUGGCGAAGGCGACUUCCUGGGCCAAUACUGACGCUGAGGUGCGAAAGCGUGGGGAGCAAACAGGAUUAGAUA
rnacentral:rRNA from 1 species